CGUAAGGCGCCGAAUGAGUCAUUAAAAAUUAACAUCAUCCGAUCCCUAGUCGGCAUAGUUUAUGGUUAAGACUACGACGGUAUCUGAUCGUCUUCGAUCCCCUAACUUUCGUUCUUGAUUAAUGAAAACAUCCUUGGCAAAUGCUUUCGCAGUAGUUAGUCUUCAAUAAAUCCAAGAAUUUCACCUCUGACAAUUGAAUACUAAUGCCCCCAACUAUCCCUAUUAAUCAUUACGUUGAUCCUAGAAACCAAUAAAAUAGGUUCGAACGUCCUAUUUCAUUAUUCCAUGCUAAUGUAUUCAAGCUAAAGCCUGCUUUAAACACUCUAAUUUUUUCAAAGUAACAGUCCUAACUUCCCAUA
rnacentral:misc_RNA from 1 species